rnacentral:lncRNA from 1 species
AUUAAAAAACAAUUCAUAAAACCCAUGACUUUCAAAGCCUAGUAUAUGGUGAACCAAUAAACUCUUUAACAAACUUAAAGAGAAGAAAGGAUUUAGAGAUUCUUUACCCUUGAAGCUCAUCCUUGAUUACACAAGGGAUUCACUCAAGUGGAGGGCCUUCAAGUCACCUUCUUGCUCCUUGGAUCUUCCUUUGAGGAUUUGAGGAUAGAAUCUCCAAAACACCAAAAGCUUGAUGUCUCUAAGUCUCCAUACCAAGGAUGUAGUGUGAAGAUGAAAUGGAUGACUUAGAGAAGAUUAGAUUGCUAGCUAAAAUUCCUCUAAGUGGCCGGCCUCUAUAGAUAAAAAGAGAGAAAAUGUUUCACCUUCUUUCCAUCAAGAAAACCCUAAUGAAAAUAAAGCUAUAAAGUUGCUUUUAUACUUCAUCACAAAUGAGUGGCAAACUUGUAAUUAAUCCAAGUUUGCAUCCCCUCACCCUAUGGCCGGCCUUACCUUGUUAUUGGGCUAAUUUGCCCAUUUUGUUUUAGUUGUCAUACAACUUAAACAUAAUGGGCCUUGUGGACCAAAACGCUUUUGGGCCCCGAAGCCCAAAACCAACUUAAAAGCCUAAUACGAACAUUUCGUAUAAUUAAUUAACUAAUUAAUUAAUCUUGACCAUUUUUCAAUUAAAUAAUUUAAUUGCAUAUCCAUCUCAUUUAUUUCUUCACUUUAAUCCUUUCUCGGUGUACGAUCCAUUAGGUUCCAAUUAGCGAGGUAGUGGGCGAUUGUUACUCUUAACGAUCGAUUGGGAAUUGAAACUAUUUCAAUUCUCCCUAUGAUUAGUGUUUGCUAAUCUUAAAGGCUUCCACAAACCAUGAGUGACACCUAGCAACAUGUCAUGGUUACCCAAGCUAAGUAGAAGUGGUUGGAGAACCUAUCCAGUUACAACUACAAUGCAAUACGGUCAUUCUCUAAUACAAUACUCUUAAUCACAUUGUUUGAGUGAUAGUUUGUUUCAUGUCUACUAUCCAAUGUGAUACUUCUCCAUAUGAUUAUGUUGAAUAUGAUUUGGAACAAACUUCCUAAGUCAUAUUCAUAUGUUUUGGCCAAAGACUCUUGAAUCAUAUCUUAGAAUAUUCUCCUUCCACCAUGGAAGGUUAGAGAUCCCUUGUUGCGCAUUCAUAUGCCUACAUGACUAGAUAGCUUGACCCCAACAAUGCCGUGGACACUCUCAAUGGAAUGCCUUUGACAUGAUCAAAGAUCAAGGACCUAACCAUUAGACAUCUAUGAUGCCUCAGGUUAAAGGACUACUUUGCAUAUUGCAACUAUCGAGUUCUUACAUGACAUGUACGUUCGAACUCUCUUUUGAUCGUUGUUCAGUGUACUCGAUCACUCUUUCGAGCACCUAUGUGUUUGAUUUAGUGUCCAACACUAAAUGACUUGAGACUAGUCAUACUUAAGCUUGAGUCAACAUAACACAUACUAACCUUAGCGGAUUGUCAAUGUCCAAUUGGCAAUCCUAUGGCUAGGAACGUUUUAGGAAUGAACAUAAGAGAAAGGUCUCGAUAAUCUAACUUACUUAAAUCACUUAUCUCUUAGAUCAAAUACAUUCCUUGGAUUCCCUUAUUGCUUAAACACAUGAUACAAUAAAUAGUGAUUAACAAUAAGCUUUGCCCUUCAUUAAUCAUAUAAAUGUUUAAUACAAUAAGUAUUCCAAAAGCUAUUACAUCAAAUGAGUGGUUUUGUGGACAUACUUCCAACAAUCUCCCACUUGCACUCAAAGCCACCUUCCCAUGUAUCUAAUACCCAUCUUUUCCAUAUGACGGCCAAGCUGGAUUUGAGACAUUGGCUUUGUCAGUGGAUCUGCUACGUUAU